CAACACUGAUUCUCAUAUGAUCACCAAAGUUAAGCAACAUCAAGCCUGGUCAGUACCUAGAUGGGUGAACACUUAGGAAUACCUGGUGCU